UUGUUGCUAUGAUGUUGUCCCGGCUCACUCAGACGGAUCAUCAAUUCAUCUGUGCAUAAGCAUUUGCAUGAAUCUGGUGGCUGCUGCAGUCUCAGUACAAUGCUCCCUCCCAUGAUGCCACUUCUGAUUGAGCCGUGCCAAUAUCUCAGCAUCACUU
rnacentral:pre_miRNA from 1 species